CCUACGAGAGGCAGCAGUGAGGAAUAUUGGUCAAUGGGCGCGAGCCUGAACCAGCCAAGUAGCGUGAAGGAUGACUGCCCUACGGGUUGUAAACUUCUUUUAUAAAGGAAUAAAGUCAGGCACGUGUGCCUUUUUGUAUGUACUUUAUGAAUAAGGAUCGGCUAACUCCGUGCCAGCAGCCGCGGUAAUACGGUGGAUACGAGCGUUAUCCGGAUUUAUUGGGUUUAAAGGGAGCGUAGAUGGGUUGUUAAGUCAGUUGUGAAAGUUUGAGGCUCAACCGUAAAAUUGCAAUUGAUACUGGCAGCCUUGAGUACAGUUGAGGGAUGCGGAAUUCGUGGUGUAGCGGUGAAAUGCGUAGAUAUCACGAAGAACUCCGAUUGCGAAGGCAGCCUACUAAACUGCCACUGACAUUGAUGCUCGAAAGUGUGGGUAUCAAACAGGAUUAGAUACCCGAGUAGUC
rnacentral:rRNA from 1 species